rnacentral:lncRNA from 1 species
AUUCGUUCAUCUUUGCUUUGAAUCCUCCAGGCUAUCCAGGGUAUGAAGAGAAAUAUGUCUGAUGUGGAGGAGAUGGCUCCCCCUUUGAGCUUAACCUGUGGGUGAACCCCUCCCUCCCUCUUCCCCAGUCUUCAGUCCAACCAACACUGGGAGGCAGGGUCAGGAGAAAGAUAAAUAGACCGAAAGCGACAGUUUCCUUCCAUCUCAUCCCGUCAAGUUCGAGCAGCUCUUCUAAUCUACCGAUGUCAAAAUUCGUUGUUUGGGGUACAGCACAUAAGCAAUUCGUACAGUUUUAAAAUUUUACAAGAGGAUGAUAUGAAAUCUCGAGCGCCGUUAACGCUUUCUCUUUGUGUUGGGGGUGUGGAAGAGCAUUGCUUCUUUCCUGCCUUUUUCUGCCAGAUCCCACCAUCACAUCUCCGCAUACACACUUACUCCCUCCCUGCCCCGCCAGGAGGACCAGGUACCCCUCAAGGCGGGGACAUCAGGUGUCACUGGACUUCCAGGGACCAGUGCAGGCCGGAAAUAGGAAAACAGAUGAGCCUUUCAGGUGACUCUGGAGGCAAAGUCCCGUGGACAGCGACACACCCUGGUUCCUAAGACUCUCAUUCUCCCAGGAUUUACCGUGCUGGAUCCAACCUGUACGUAGCACGCCAAACGCCCUGUGCAAGCUUUCCUAGAGCAUCCAAGUUUACAUUUCUUAGCCAAAAAGGUAGUGGAGCCAAGGGACGCUUCUUUGGAUGGCAACAGCCUGUGCUGUCUUAUCCCUUCCCUUCGUCCUCGAGCAAGCCUCGUCUGCUGCAGGGGAUUCUCCCAGGACUGGAGCCAGCGCCAAUCAGGGCGCUCAGUACCUGCCCCCAGCGCCGGCACCUGGAGGAGCUAGGAGUUCUCGGUUCCGAGAAGGGCCAGUUCUCGAGCGCAGCGGAGGGCGGAGGAACCUCACGUGGGCCUUCCCGGACCGGGGCGCCGGGAAGGAAGCGUACAGACCCUGUGAGAGCGAACUCGGGGGUCGCCUUUGGAGCGGAGCGGCUCAGCUAAGGAACCGGAGGUUGGCGCUGGACUGUGGUGACCAGGCUGGAGGAUUCCUAGAAGGCUGGGGCAGUCAGGGCCAGGCGGAGUUGGCUACAUUCGAAGACAAGCCUGCCCUACACCCACCAGAACCUGGGGCCUUCCAGAACCUCCUGUCCUCUCCAAGAAUGACCUGGCCACAGCUACACUUGUCCCUGUCCUCACCUUGGGCCAGUGCCUCCUCUUUGAGAGCCAUGGUGGAGAAGGUAAGAGUGUGGGAUCCAAGCCACUGCUUAGUUCACGGCCCAGCUCUCUUGCUUCCCAGUGGAGUGACCAGAGCUAAAAUUUAGUUCAAGCUCUCUGAACCUUUUGUCUGAAAAGAAAGACAGUUGUGCAUCAUAGCAUUUGUUGUGGGGGUGAACUAGAUUCGCAGUUGCCGCAGUGCCUGGUACAUGGAAGCGAUCCCUCUGCUGUAACUCCUGCCGUUCCUCCCUGUUCCGUGUCCACCAUUGCCCCAAAUACCUACAUACCCAAACCCAGAGAAAACAUGACAUGGCAUCAUCCCUUAAGGGGCACAUCAACUUGUGAAGGCAAAAAAAACUGCGUGCAUGAAACCCAAAAUUAGAAAAGCAGGCUGACGUUCAUGAAUUCCUGGUAUAUGCAGAGAAAGGACAAAGAUAACUGCGUUGCUUUGAUAUAGGAGAUAGCCCAGCAUUGAGACGCUCGCCGUGCACGAGAGCUGGCUGUUCAGUGUUUGGGGCAUUCCUUCCAGUCUCCGUUCCUUGUGAUUAUUUUAUUUCAUCGACUUAAUAAGUGACUUGAAUCCUCCCCAUCCAUCCCUGUGUCUUCAGUUCUGCCAAGCGAGCUAGACUCUUCUGUGGCUUGGCUCCCAGGCAGGUUGUCCCGCAUGUGGAAAAAAGAAGCUGCCCAACCUUAGAAACUGGCAGUGGACAUCACUGCGGGAGGACAGAUAAAUAUAGACCAUCAAGGGAUUAUUCAUUUAGAGCCCAGCUCCUCAGACAUCUCCCUGCCAUGAUUCACUAAAUCAGUUCAAGAUGGCAUAAAUCAGUGUGUCAGGGAGGCUGGGGAGAGAACAGGUCUGACCUUUCCUGCUGCCCCCAGGCCACGUCCCCUCCACCCACCCCCAGCCCUCACUCCCAGCUCCAAUGAGAUUUUCUCCUCCCUUGCCUGGGAUAGAAGUUACUACAGCUUGUGUCAAGAAAACCAAUUAAGAAACCAUAAAUUGCAGCCGACUAGAAAGGUCAUUGCACAGGCUAUAAAUACAGGCGUUGCUAAACUGAGUGGAAGUCUCUGUGAAGCCCAUUCUCUCCUCCACACCCACGUCUUCCCUCUGAAGCUUUCCUUUGAUAAAUGGAGAGCAAUCCAGCCAGGGCUCAGACAGGCAUACCCUGGGUUUGCAGGGGGCAGGCAGCCUGCUGUCUGGAGUAUACCUGGGAAUUCUGAGCACUGGUCGGACUCUCCAGCUCGACUCCAGGUUUUGGGGGGUUUUUUUGGUUUGGGGUUUUUCUUCCUAACAAUCAUUCCUUCACAAUGCAUAAAAGGUAUAGGAAUUCCAGGUAAAAACUUGGGACACACCGAAAAGCACAAUGGGGAAAUAAGAACCCAUACCCCACCCCUUGCAAACAAGUCCAACAUUUUGGGAUAUAUUCUUCCAGGCUUUCCCCCCAUGUUUAUUUUUCUUUACAAAAACAUGUUUAAAUAGUGUCAUUUAGAGAUACUAUUUUAUGGCCUGCUCGCUCAGCAGUAUUUAUGUUAAUGUUAUUUUUCCAUAGUAUUCUCUGUGGACCAGAAUAUAUUUAACUUUCCCCUGCCAUUAAGCAUUUAGCUUGCUUCCAGAUUGUCCCUCAUAUAUAAUGCUACAGUGAAUGUUAUUGACUUAAAAUUUGCAUAUAGCUAUAAUUACUUCUUCUGGGUAAAUAUGUAAAGUGGAAUUGCUGGGCCCUUGAUUUUGAAGACUGGAACUGAUACAUGUUGUCAAAUUGCCUUCUAGAAAAGUCAAACCUGUUUUCACUUCACUAGUGUAGGCUGGUGACCAUUUUCUCACACCCUUACCAAAAACAUGACCGUCAAUAGGUAUUUUUUGAUCUUGACCAGUUUGUUGGGUUGAAAAAAAAAGGUGUCAUGAUGUCUUAAUCGAAACAGCCACUUAGCACCUCCUAACACAUCACAGAGGCUCCCAGAACCACCGAAAGCUUAACCUGGAGAGGACGCUCCUUCCUCCCACCCUCAGCUAGGCUUUCUGAGGUCCUUACACUUAGGAGGGUGGCAGUAACAGCACCGGGGUCCCAGGUUCCCCCGGGGCAGACCUAGAGCCAGCACAGUGUAGCGGAAGGGUCCCUAUUCUUAUCCUUCCAAAGAAGGAGGACACUUUAGGGCUAGCCACCACCCUGGGCUACAGGCCCGAGAGUCAGGCACAAAGUAAAAUGCACGCCUCAGC